UACGUAGGGCGCAAGCGUUAUCCGGAAUUAUUGGGCGUAAAGAGCUCGUAGGCGGUGUGUCGCGUCGGCCGUGAAAACCUGGGGCUCAACCUCCAGCCUGCAGUGGGUACGGGCAGACUAGAGUGCGGUAGGGGAGACUGGAAUUCCUGGUGUAGCGGUGAAAUGCGCAGAUAUCAGGAGGAACACCGGUGGCGAAGGCGGGGUCUCUGGGCCGAUACUGACGCUGAGGAGCGAAAGCGUGGGGAGCGAACAGG
rnacentral:rRNA from 1 species